rnacentral:tRNA from 20 species
CGGGGCGUAGCGCAGUCUGGUAGCGCAUCUGGUUUGGGACCAGAGGGUCGUAGGUUCGAAUCCUAUCGCCCCGACCA